GACAGAGGGUGCAAACGUUGUUCGGAAUUAUCUGGGCGUAAAGCGCGUGUAGGCUGCUUCGCAAGUCGGAUGUCGGAAAGCCCCUGGGCCUCAACCCAGGAAGUGCAUUCGAAACUGCAGAGCUGGAGUCCUGGAGAGGAAGGCGGAAUUCUCGGUGUAGAGGUGAAAUUCGUAGAUAUCUGGAGGAACACCGGUGGCGAAGGCGGCAUCCUGGACCGGCAUUGACGCUGAGGCGCGAAAGCUAAGGGGA
rnacentral:rRNA from 1 species